rnacentral:rRNA from 1 species
GACGACGCUGGCGGCGUGCCUAACACAUGCAAGUCGAACGGAGAGGACAUGAAGUAUUUCGGUACGGAAUGCUCUCUUAGUGGCGAACGGGUGAGUAACACGUGGGCAACCUGCCCCAGACUGGGGGAUAACAUUGUGAAAACAGUGCUAAUACCGCAUGACAGGGUUCCGGGCAUCCGGGACCCUUGAAAGGAGAAAUCCGGUCAGGGAUGGGCCCGCGUCCAAUUAGCUAGUUGGCGGGGUAACGGCCCACCAAGGCGACGAUUGGUAGCCGAACUGAGAGGUUGAUCGGCCACAUUGGGACUGAGACACGGCCCAGACUCCUACGGGAGGCAGCAGUGGGGAAUAUUGGGCAAUGGGCGAAAGCCUGACCCAGCGACGCCGCGUGAAGGAUGAAGGUCUUCGGAUUGUAAACUUCUUUGAUCAGGGAAGAAAGAAAUGACGGUACCUGAAAAACAAGCCACGGCUAACUACGUG